rnacentral:lncRNA from 1 species
UAAUAAAACAAGCAAAUAUACAUCUCAAUGGCAGAUUAAGGCUUUUCUUGUAGCUAAGCCUAAUUAAAAUGGCAACAUUCCAAUGGUUUCUUUACCAGGGAGCAAGGACAUCUGCAAGGGAUAAAAAGAUAGCAAGCAUUUUGAUGCAUUUGUUUCCAGUGUUUAAAUGUGGCAACAGAAAACAGGGAUUGAUACUGGCUAAGUUACAAGCAACAUUUGAGUUAAAUGUUUUAAAAGAGUACAGGAAAUCAAAGCAGUUAAAUAAAUUAAUUUUCUUUUUCAAAUGUCGAAAUGAACAUGAUGCAUAUAUUUUCUUCUAAUUUCAUCAUUUUAAAAAUCCCAAGGAUUUUAAAACUGUGAGAGAAAGAUAGGAAAACACUGCCAGGGGCAUUUUCCUUGCAAGCAAAUAUUUCAGAUGAACAAACUUCACUUAGUAUAUUUGCAGAAACUUCUAUUUUACACACCAUUCCCUGAAAAUAAAAAUAAAACUCAGCCUU